GGGAAUCUACCCUUCUCUACGGGAUAGCUCCGGGAAACUGGAAUUAAUACCGUAUACGUCCUGAGGGAGAAAGAUUUAUCGGGGAAGGAUGAGCCCGCGUUGGAUUAGCUAGUUGGUGGGGUAAAGGCCUACCAAGGCGACGAUCCAUAGCUGGUCUAAGAGGAUGAUCAGCCACAUUGGGACUGAGACACGGCCCAAACUCCUACGGGAGGCAGCAGUGGGGAAUAUUGGACAAUGGGCGCAAGCCUGAUCCAGCCAUGCCGCGUGAGUGAUGAAGGCCCUAGGGUUGUAAAGCUCUUUCAGUGGGGACGAUAAUGACGGUACCCACAGAAGAAGCCCCGGCUAACUUCGUGCCAGCAGCCGCGGUAAUACGAAGGGGGCUAGCGUUGUUCGGAAUUACUGGGCGUAAAGCGCACGUAGGCGGAUAUUUAAGUCAGGGGUGAAAUCCCGGGGCUCAACCCCGGAACUGCCUUUGAUACUGGAUAUCUUGAGUUCGGAAGAGGUAAGUGGAAUUGCGAGU
rnacentral:rRNA from 1 species